CAGACUGCACUGUGCCACCUAUGUUAUACCUCAUAACUAAGUUAUUAUGUCUUUGCAUUGUAUAAUUAAAUUACCAACUUCUUCUUCAAACUGAAACAUAACAAUAACCCAAGUACAGUUGCAUGGCAGUAGAAAUACAACUACGAGAGAGAAGGGGAGUUUUGCUAGUAGAUAGGGACAAUGUGCUUCAUGAAUGCGAUCAACCAAAAUGUUUUAUUCUCAACGGUGGUCUGCACUCUGCCGGUUUACUAAGUGCUUUUUCACGCUACGUUUGAAAGAUCCGAUGUUAUGCAGACGAUGACUGGGAUAUGAUACACGAAAGCCAUUCCCACAAUGUUACGGUGUAGUUCAGAGCCUAAUCUUGGAAUAUUAGCCCCGUUUGUAAUCUUUAUUUACGCUGGCGAGAUACUAAUGAAGAAUUAUGUAAUAAUGAAAUUGAACUAUAUCAUGACUAUUAUAAAAUAUUAUAUUCAUCAGGAAUUA
rnacentral:lncRNA from 1 species